ACGAAAGAACAUGGUGAAAUAGCUUUUUCCAAUGAAAGUUUAUGCUAUAUUGUGAUGAUUAUUCUAAACUUUGUUUUUCUUUCCCUUCGUAUCGCAGUGAGGUUUGGAGCGCACAUUUUAAGAAGAAGCGACAUUUUCAGUUCAAAAAACAACGAAAUCAACGGUCGGCAAUACAACGAUUAGUACGAGAACCUGUAUUCUGGCAUGGCGUUGAAAUUUAAUUACAUAAUGGAAAGUGAGGAGCAACGUUAACGAAAUCAUUCGUGCGGUGGUGCAGAAAAUGUACUGAAUACACAAUGUUCUAGAAUAUUCAUAUUGUUUGGCGGCAGAACAAAAGAUGAAUACAUAAUUUAAUGGAGAAAUGCCAAAAGAUUGAUGUGAAGAUUUUAGGGGACAAGUAAUAAUUCGCACGGAAUAGCUUUGGUGUUCCGUAGGCGCGAUAAAAUUCUUACCGUAUUAUUCUGUGUAUAACGACCCGCUUUUAGUUCACAAAUUAUCAAAGUCCGAUUAAGUGGGUCGUUAUACACAGGUAGUAACUUUUCCAUUCGAUUCUAGAGUGGAGGUUAAAACACGUACCACAUUGUUACAACUGAUGAAAUGUAGAAAACAAAUUUUUUCAAUUUUUUUCAUAAACAUAAAAAAAUGGUUUUUGGGGGUCGUUAUACACUGAAAAAUACGGUACUUUGCUAUAUUGACAAUGAAGGAAAAAUUGUAAACAGCGGUUGGCUGGUAUGUUGCAAUGUUUCGUUUUGUUAGAAAUAUGUGCAAUGUCCGCGUGUGGGGGUCCGCGACAGCCGAGCGGUAGCGCUGGUUAGAAAUUCGGCCCAUGAGCGCCGGGGCUAACCACCUCGACGGCGUGGGUUCGAAUCCCAACCGAGACCGGACCCUCCCCUGUACGAGAGGACUGACUAUCCACGUACAACAGGGAAACAAGUCUCGUAAGCCCUUAACGGGGGCAGGCAUGACCAAGAGUUCGUUACGCCAAGAAGAAGAAGAAGAAGAUGUGCAAUGUGAUGUUCAUAAUUUGAUUUGAAUUUUCAAUGACGGCAAAUUUCCUUCCAAAUAAUGUGUUUAACCGAAUAUUAUGGCGUACUAUUGGUACUUAUCAAAUGCUGCAUUAUAACUAGGCAUCGUGAUGAGGUUGGGUUUGUGAUGUGACGUGUUGUUGAUGUUGGAUAGUGAAUGUGUACUAACGGCAAGGGAUAAUUGCUACGGUAUGUGCAACGGUAAGAACAUCACUACUGCAGUCCAAGUUUCCACGUUCGAGCCCACGAUGUGCACUGGCGUGUUCUUUUUAAAAAGUUUGAUAAAAAGAUCUAAGGAUAUUUUAUUCACUGCAUAACAUAUACAGUGGACAAUUAAGGACGAUGUGGAUGACGUAAUUUGUAUACAGACGAAGAACAAUGAUGUGGAUGACGUAAUUUGCAAAUAGACGAAGAGCAACCUUUCGUUGCGCAGUGCCUUUGUCUCAAACAUUGGAAAUCGGAUACACUGGAAUGACAACUGACACCCUGGAGCUUCAUUCCUGAUGCACUGCUGCAGCAGGUCUCAGGCGGCAAUAACGCGAGUGCAGGCGGUGAACAUGUGUUCCAGGGUGUCACACUUAAUACAGAACAUGCAGGAAGCCGAUGGCGUGCGUCCCAUACGCAAUAGCAAAUCUCCGUCCGGGAUCUUGCCAUUCACAACAAGGUAUAGUACGGACCGCUGCUCCGAUGAAAGUUUUGUGUAGUGGAUGUGCUUCCACGCCCUGUUUCAGUUCAGGUUCGGUAAUUGUUCCUGUAUAUUCACGGUGGGUAACCGUUCCUUUAGCGUCUUGCGGAACGCCUUGGUGAACGAGUGUUGCUCGAGCGUGGCGGGAACGUAGGCGAGUUGCUGAAAAGCGCUCCGAAGGCACGUAUACGCCGUUUGGAUCGCCGUGAUGUCAGGCGAGUUAUCGGUAUAUGAUGAGCACCAAACGGCAUGCACUCCUGCUCUACUACGUACCGGUUGGUCAUCAAGGCUAUAGCUGCUA